CGCCUUUUGUAGUACACACAUAAAAGGUCCUGCCUGCCCAAUGACUUGUUUUAAUGGCCGCGGUAUUAUGACCGUGCAAAGGUAGCGUAAUCAUUUGUCUUUUAAAUAAAGACCCGUAUGAAUGGCAAAACGAGAGCCCUACUGUCUCCCUAGCCUAAUCAAUGAAAUUGAUCUCCCCGUGCAGAAGCGGGGAUAAAAGUAUAAGACGAGAAGACCCUGUGGAGCUUUAAACUCUUACUAACGAACCACAAACGCAUUUAGUACUAAGUUUUAGGUUGGGGCGACCAUGAGGUAUAACACAACCCUCACGACAGUAACUAAGAAGGACACUUCAAACAACUAGUAUAGUAUAUUGACCCAAUAAUUGAUCAACGAACCAAGUUACCCCAGGGAUAACAGCGCAAUCUACUCAAAGAGUUCAUAUCGACGAGCAGGUUUACGACCUCGAUGUUGGAUCAGGACCCCCAAAUAGCGCAACAGCUAUUAAAGGUUCGUUUGUUCAACGAUUAAAGUCCU
rnacentral:rRNA from 1 species